rnacentral:rRNA from 1 species
ACAGCAGUAGCCGCGGUAAUACGUAGGUGGCAAGCGUUGUCCGGAAUUAUUGGGCGUAAAGCGCGCGCAGGCGGAUCAGUCAGUCUGUCUUAAAAGUUCGGGGCUUAACCCCGUGAGGGGAUGGAAACUGCUGAUCUAGAGUAUCGGAGAGGAAAGUGGAAUUCCUAGUGCAGCGGUGAAAUGCGUAGAUAUUAGGAAGAACACCAGUGGCGAAGGCGACUUUCUGGACGAAAACUGACGCUGAGGCGCGAAAGCCAGGGGAGCGAACGGGAUUAGAUACCCCUGUAGUCCCUGUCUCUUAUACA